GACGAACGCUGGCGGCGUGCUUAACACAUGCAAGUCGAACGGAAAGGCCCUGCUUUUGUUGGGUGCUCGAGUGGCGAACGGGUGAGUAACACGUGAGUAACCUGCCCUUGACUUUGGGAUAACUUCAGGAAACUGGGGCUAAUACCGGAUAGGAGCUCCUGCUGCAUGGUGGGGGUUGGAAAGUGUCGGCGGUUGGGGAUGGACUCGCGGCUUAUCAGCUUGUUGGUGGGGUAGUGGCUUACCAAGGCUUUGACGGGUAGCCGGCCUGAGAGGGUGACCGGCCACAUUGGGACUGAGAUACGGCCCAGACUCCUACGGGCGGCAGCAGUGGGGAAUAUUGCACAAUGGGCGGAAGCCUGAUGCAGCAACGCCGCGUGCGGGAUGACGGCCUUCGGGUUGUAAACCGCUUUCGCCUGUGACGAAGCGUGAGUGACGGUAAUGGGUAAAGAAGCACCGGCUAACUACGUG
rnacentral:rRNA from 1 species